rnacentral:lncRNA from 1 species
GCGGGGGCCGGGCGCUGCUGCGAGCAAAGGAGCACCAGCUGCAGCCCGCAAGUUGCUAAAUUAGCCGGGCUGUUGUUUUGCUUUUAAUUUUUGUGCGAAUUCAAGAAUAGGUCGCGGAUGUCUUGGCAGCGCGUGAAUGAGACCCUUUCCGAAAGAAUUCACCUUGCUGAAGGGCCGCUGUCGGGCGCCCAGAUCCCCAGUGCGAAGCCUGCGCUCGCCCUCCCGCGGCUGGUGCCCUGGCCUCCCUUCCCGCGGGCCUGGCCCCCCAACCCCGCGCCCCUCCCCAGGGGCCCACCGGCUCCUCUGCCUCCCCAGACCGCGGGCCUGCGCCCUUGCAGCCGGGAAGAGUGAGCCAGGCCCGGCGUGGCCUCUGCACCCCCUCGCAGUCCGGGAGCCCUCGCCCAGCCCAGUGGCCAUGCAGAAGGUUCUGGAAGUGACAGGCCUGCUCCUGGAGGAGCUCUACUCUACGCUGAAAAUGGUCUGAUGACAUUGGCAAGAUUUUGUUCUUCCCCUUCUUCCCGGUUGGGCCCUCACCUGGAUGCAGAUGACUUCUCAAGGUGUGUCUCUAAGACCUGUCUUCUCGCCUGAAAUACGUUGCUACCUGCCUGCUGGAUCCAGCCUGCUACAGAUUCCCUGCUACAUCCUCAAACUCUGCACAGAACAGAACAUGGCAUUUUUCUUUGGAGUAACUGCUCCUGAGACAGGCAGGUGGUGGUGGUUAUUCUCUGAAGGUUUUAGGCUGGAACCAGGUAGGAGGCAGGGUGCCACCUGCUUUUAUCUUUUUCGAUAACUGAUACAAAGUCUACUCUUGUCAUGUUCUCUCCCAAUGAGACACAUUCUUUUGUGACAAAUACAACCAUACCAUUUUAUUUUUUGUCUCUAGUCAUUGGUAAGUGUUUCUAAUGUGCUGGGUCAAGAAUCCCCAGCCAAUAGCUUCCUUCUCAGAUGUGGCUGGUGUGGGCUGAGUUCCCCAUUGGUUGGGUUUGCUUGUGGCCAAUUGUCUGAAUACGUCAGUACUGCUAGUUUAGGGGGGUCAUUUCCAAUAUUCACCAAAUGCUUCCAGCUCUCUGCUAGAGAAUUGCAUUUCUCAGCCCCCUGGUGGUUGGGUGGGGCCAUGUGUGUGACUCAAAGCUCAAGAGUCCUUCGGGGGAAGUGCUGUGCCCUGGCUGGGGCAUUUAAUUGUGAGUGCAAGACCCUUCUGAGAUCCGUCCUUUUGCAUGGUGACUGGAAAUAUUUGCAAGGACAGCUGCUUCCCCAACCUGGGCCCUUCAAUGAGGAGAUGUGAACAGAGGCUCCAGCCGGCUCAUGAUAGACAUGUAGCUCAAGUGAGAAAUAA